UGGGGCAGCAAGAGGCCCAGGGAGAGCUAGGGCAGUGACUUCUGCUUCCACCCACAGGGGCUGUGGAGCUGAGCCAGGGGAAUAGGAACAUCAGCCUCCUUCCAGGCCCGCGCAUGCUCAUGACUCCUGUCCUUACUCACGUUGACCCCACAGCCUGUAUCCUGAUAUAUUUAUGUUUCCCUUCUCUCCCGUAGUGCAUUUCAGAGGUGGAUGUAAAGAAAAUUCUGAUCUUUUAAAAUAGAUUUCACAAGGGGGAGGGAGCGGCAGGGAUGAAUUCACCAGGAGAUUGCUUUUAAAAUAGGCCACUGUGCACCUCAGGUAUUUGCCUUUGGUGCCAGCUCCAAGGACAGCCCUUUCUGAGAGGGCCACAUGCUAUUUCUAUGCCUUUGACUCUCACACCUGAGGGGAGCUUGGUCUAAUAAUGAUACUCGUGGUUGGAUGUGUAUGUGGAGAUGAGUGAGCCAGAGAGAGAGAGAGAGUACAUUGAAACCGGACAGGGGAUGGUUCCUGAAUUACCCUCAGAUGAGUAUCAGUUAUCAUGAGUGAGCAGGCACAGUGUGAGCUACCUGAAGCUGACCAGGGGGUGGCCCCUGUGCUGGUCAACAACUAGCCAUAACCCUGGGCCAUGUGUGGGCUCAAGCGGUUCCUAGUGAGCUGACUGGAGAGCUUUACAACCGUGUGGCUUCAUGGUGGAGCUCAGGGGUGUGUGCGUGUGCGUGCGUGCGUGCGUGCGUGCGUGCGUGUGUGUGUGUAUGUGUGUGUGUGUGUGUGUGUGCUGGGGGCAGGUCAAACCUCAGAGGGGGGUCAUCUUGGUAAUUCACAGAGCAGGUGGGAUUUCCUGGCUGGAAGUACCCCCACUUUUGUGGCCUCUGCGUCCUGAUCUUACCUGUGGACACUGCAGGUCCCUGACAGUGGAGCUCCUUCCCAAGGGAAAGUAACUUCUUCCCCCCACUAUUCCAUCAACCGGAGACAGCAAGCAGACCAGCUGGACACAAUCCCAGCCCUGUGAGGAAGGGCUCAGUGGUCAGAGAACACUCCUGUGCCAGGAAGGGACACCUUCAGUCUGUUCUGUUGUUCUUUUGCCUUUUGUUUUUCUAACAGGGUCUUAUAUUGUCUAAGAUGGCAUUAAACUCACGCUGAAGAUCCUUCUGAUGGUCCUGCCUUCAACUUCUGAGCUCCAGGACUAAGGGUAGGCACUAUCACACCUGUUUUAUGGCAUGUUGGGGAUGGAACCCAGAGAUAGGACAUGCUAGGCCAGCAGUUCCCAGCCACAUGCCCUGGCUACAUCCCUGGCCCAGACAUCAUUCUUAAAACCUGAAAUGGUACAAUUACUUGUUCAUACAAGUGGAAAAUGUAGGAACAGGUAAGCUUAAUUAGAACAGCUGCAUCUGGCUACAGGGGGAGAGGGGCUAUUCAGAACAUGUGAGAUGUCAAAAGUCAGAGAGACCUGUCCGUCUGUCUCUCUGCCUUGCAUUCUUUAUGCUUAAGUUAGCUUUCUCCAAGGGGACACUGGUGGCUCUAAUAACCUCCACAGACUUCCCAGUCUCCUAUCAGGAAGAUUAGCCAUUUGGGGCCAGAUGCCCUACCUUGUGCCAGACAGAACCUUAGGAUAGACAGAGAGGACUGGCCAGCCUGGGUCAUGGGUCCACUGCUGUUUCCAGCACAUCCAGGGCUGGUCAUCUCUAUAAAGAAACACAAAGAUUUGAUCCCACUGCUCAUGGCCACACCAGAGGGCCAGAAGGCCCUAGGGAGAGAAAGUGUGCUGGCUAGUUUUUCUAAAUUUUAUUUUAUUUUUAUCAACUUGACACAAGCUAGAAUUAUCUAGGAAGCAGAACCUCCAUUGAGGAAACAUCUCCAUCAGAUUGCCUGCAGGCAAAGCCUGUAGGGUGUUUCCUUGAUUGAUUGAUGUGGGAGGGCCCAGCCCACUGAGGGUGGUGUCAUUCCCUGGACAAGUGAAAGCAGGCUGAGCAAGCCAUGGCGAGCAGCCCUCCUCCAUGACCUCUCUUUUAUUCCUGUCCCGAUUUCCUACCCAGAUUUCCCCCAGCGAUGGGCAGUUACUGGAAUCUAUAAGGUGCAAUGACCUCUUUUCUCCCCAUGCUGCUUUUGGUUAUGGUGUUUUAUCACAGCCAUAGAAACCUCGACGAAGACAGAAAGUCUUCCUAAUAUUUGUCCCGAGGCUCCGACUCUACUCCUCUGCUUCUUUCUAUUGGAAGGGGCGGGGGAAUAAAAGCUGUGGCUUUCAGGACCUGCCUGGCCAAGACCUGGGAAGGGUUCAAAGAGGCCUGUCCAGCUUGCCAGCUUUGAUCUGGGAUGGGAACUUGCUGAAAACACAAUCAGAAGGAAUGUGUGUGAUCCCAGCUUGAGUGGACCAGCAAUAAAUCCAGGCAUCCUGGUGUGAGGCCUGCAGAGGCAGUGAAAGGGAAGCUCCCAGCCUCUCGGGGAGAUGGGCCAGCUGCAUUCUGCCCAGAGAGGCCCACGCUGGGAGAACGAACAAGUCCCUGACAACUUGGGGACAAGGUGUUCCCAUCCACCUGGUUCUAAUUCUUGGUCCUGAUUCUGCGUCUAGGACACUGAGCCCCGGUGUCCAUGCGUAAGGGCUGCCGGCAGCUACAGAUGAACAGGCCAUUGAGUGUUCAGCUCUUCGCACCCUUGGAGCAUCUGUGGAGUGGAGUGUGAAGUGGGUUGGAGAGUCUCUCCCCAAUACACUUACUCCUAAGCCCCAGGCCUGCAAGCAUGGCCUUAUUAAGUGUCCAGAGAGGCCAUUAAGGAUCUUGAGAUGUGACCAUCUUGAAUGAGGACAGACUAAUCUACUGCCAGUGUCUAAAAGAGAAAGCCCUGAGCCAGAUACAGGGAAAAGGCUACAUGAGACCCAAGAAGACCAGAGAAGUGUACCAUAAGCAGGGACACCCGGGAGCCACCAGGAGCUGGAGAGGUGAGGGGGGCUCCUGUGGCCUGUGCCCUUCCCUCACAUCCUGGGUCCUCAGAACCCUGUGUAACUAACUCGAGGGUUCCUCUUCUGGAUAACUCAUGCCCAUCUAGCAGCUCCAGCAACCCCCUGCAACUGGGUGUCUAGCCCAGUCCAGGCAGGCCCUAGUCAGCCUCCUUCAGGGAAAAGGCUACUCUGCAUCCUGUGAAGGAAAGGUCUGCAACCCAAUUUGACAGUGUGCCAGCUUGUCUCUCUGCUGCUCUGAUAAGACACUGAUCAAAAGCAACUCGGGGAGGAAAGGGUUUAUUUGCCACACACUUUGCGGUUAUAGUCCACUGUUGAAGGGAACAGAGACAAUUAAGGAAUGCUGAUUACUUAUCAUGGACCACUCUGCUUGUUUUUAAACUAUAACCCAGGACCACCUACCUAGGGGUGGUACCACCCAUCGUGGACUGGGCCGUCCCACACCAACCAUCGAUCAAGGAAAUGCCUCCACAGACUUGCCUACAGCCAAUCUAAUGGAGGCAUUUCCUUAGUUGAGGGUCACUCUUCUCAGAUGACUCUAGUUUGGGUCAAUUUGACAAAAAACAAAAACAAAGCCAAAAACUAACCAUCACAGACAUGGGCGACUCUAGCGAAGACACGAGGGUCCUUGAGGCGUCACACAGCAACGGGCUUAGGGCAGACUGAAUCUAGCCAGUUGGCUCAUGUUGUACUCCUAGUCUGGGGUUACGAGCAGUUGCUGACCUCACAGGCCCAGGCUCGGUGCAUGGUCCCCAGGCUGUCCUUAGCCAGCAUCUCUCCAAAUCAGGUCUAGCUCUCUUCAGGAAACCAUCCCUGGUCCAAGGCACUGUGGCUUCCUUGCUUCUAGCUCUAUGGCCUUGUGACUGCCACCUUGUCCUAGCUUGGGUUUUGUUUGGCUUUGAGGGUUACCUCUCUUUCCCUGACGGGACUUCUUCCGGGACAUGAAGGGCAAGGUCACGUCUCGCUAGGUUCUGUGUGUCCCUGCUGUGAACCAGGAGCCAGCCCAGGUGUGCUCCUUGUACGUGAGCUGUGCCAGCUGCGUCCUGUGCACAGCCCAGGACAGAAGACAGCACCAGAGCGUGGAUUACAGGUUGUGAAGCUCAGUGACCGCAAUGUGCCAGCCGUGUGCUGGGCGCUCUGGACUCAGGACCCAGUGACGACACAGGCAGCCACGGCAGUGCCGACCCAGUGUUGGGACAUUCAGGGCUAGAUCCUCACGUUGCUGGGGUGGGCUGGGAACUCUGCCGCCUCCCAGGGUUAGGAGAUGUGGCUUCCCACUGUCUCAGUAGCCACAGUCCAUCACAGUAGCCAACUGCAAAUGUGAAUUUCUCAGGAGUCUGUGAACCAGCAGCACCCGCUCGGUUAUUUGACUCACCCAAGUAUUGUCACCUGCUAAUUAUAAUUAAGUCUUUCACAA